rnacentral:rRNA from 1 species
AGUGAGCGCUGGCGGUAGGCCUAACACAUGCAAGUCGAACGGCAGCACAGUAAGAUCUUGCUCUUACGGGUGGCGAGUGGCGGACGGGUGAGGAAUAGAUCGGAAUCUUCUUUUUCGUGGGGGAUAACGGAGGGAAACUUACGCUAAUACCGCAUACGACCUACGGGUGAAAGCAGUGGAUCUUCGGACCUUGCGCGAUUGAAUGAGCCGAUGUCGGAUUAGCUAGUUGGCGGGGUAAAGGCCCACCAAGGCGACGAUCCGUAGCUGGUCUGAGAGGAUGAUCAGCCACACUGGAACUGAGACACGGUCCAGACUCCUACGGGAGGCAGCAGUGGGGAAUAUUGGACAAUGGGCGCAAGCCUGAUCCAGCCAUACCGCGUGGGUGAAGAAGGCCUUCGGGUUGUAAAGCCCUGUUGUUGGGAAAGAAAAGCAGCAGGUUAAUACCCCGCUGUUCUGACGGUACCCAAAGAAUAAGCACCGGCUAACUUCGUG